GUCGUUUACAACAUAAGGGCAUUUAUUCAGUUUUAACUCCAUUAUAUUUGUCAGGUUACCAACCAUAUGUGUUUCGCACGACUCUUUUUUAUAAAUGCCCAACCAGUACGACUUAUUUCCUGUGUUCAUCAAGGAUUUAUUGUUUGUAGUAGGAAAUUCUAGUCGAUUGCCGCAGUUUGAAUUCGCGUCGUUCCAAGACAUUUGGUUUCCAUCUGAAAAAUUAUAAUA